ensembl:lncRNA
AGUCUACAGGGGAGCUGAGCGCAAGUAUGUUGAAGACUCCAGUAGGACUACGUCUGAACUUCUGCUUGGAUGCAGGCACGCUUGCGGAUAACAAACAUUCCGCUGAGAUUUCUUUCUUUUGAGGAUCUUACUUGAGAGAACUUUCACGCCGUGGAAACUCAUCAAAGGACAUCGGACUUUUAAUGUUGCAGCGGCUUUGAGGAAGCCUCGGAAUAGUUGAGAAUUCCGUUUAAUACUGUUAAAUGCGGAGAUACUGGCAGGGCUCAAUGCAGUUGCAAAGUGGAAGAAGAGAGAAUAAACCAACAAAGGUCACUUGUGUCUGGAGUGCGCCAUCUAGUGGGGUCAACAGAAAUGCUGAGUACUGCAGGAGAAGGCCAAAUGAAUGUGGUCUUUACUCUAAUUUCGUCAUUCUAAUAUUGACCAAAUUAUUUGGCGGGCCGGAUUGAAAUGCCCAAAGGGCCGUAUGUGGCCCGGUGGCCGUAGUUUGCCCAUGCCUGCUGUACAGUGUGCCAUCUGAACAACUGAGACAUACGUGAUGUUGUGAAUUGUUAAUUUCUGUAUCACGUAUUCAAUGUCUGACUAGUCAUCCACUAAUUUUCCCUUUUGUUUGUUUCCCAGACAAGUGAGGCGCCUAACUGAAGUCAUCACUUUAAAGAUUGCUGUUCAUGCAAUGCAAACUGCAUAUCUGCACAGCCCCACAGGAGGAGCCUAUCUUCCAACAUCUCAGGACAACAGCAUUCAACCUUUACCAGCGGUUUACCUUCCAAAUGAAAUACAAAUCAGCAUGGUUGCUGCUCAGCCUCCUAGGGAGCUCGGAGUGCCUUAUGAUCCAGCUCAUACUGAGCAAGGUUAUGCACAAUCACAGAAUUUUCAGGACAGCAGGAAUUUUGGAAUAUCUGUUAAUGCAAACUGCAUAAGACAAAUUGCUGACAGUAGUGGACAACAAAGGGACUCUUUGAAGCUCUAUUUUAGUGAACAUUUGCAGAACAGUUUAGAAUUGGGCAAUGAUACUGGACUGAGUGGUCAGUUGUCCACAGACAAAAUGUUGGCAGCUGGAGUAUCCGAAUCAUAUACAGAUCCUGAACUAUGUGAUUACGUUAAAGAGAGGCUUGCAUAUCUUAGGAUGAACAUAAAUCAUGGACCUCGUCUGUCCAGUAAGGGGUGCCCUAAUGACAAUGACUCACCACUCCAGUCCCACUGUAACACUUCAAAGUCCAAUAGUGUGGACUGUCACCCCACAUCCUCUACGUGUGACAAAGAAGAUGUAGAGAGGCAAAGUCUUAGCUGUGCUGUGGUUGAGCACUGUACUGCUGCAGCUACAAAAGCACUUGAAGAGUACAGCUCCAAGACCAGCGACACGAAUGCCGAGUUAACCCCCAAGUCUAAAGAGAAAAGUGAAACAUCUGCAUCAGAGAGAAUUUUAACAGGUACACUCAUCUCUGAUGUAGAAAAUGCAAAACAUGCAGAUUUUGAUUUGCAAGUAAGAAAACACUUGGAUAUAAAUGAUGACAAACAUGUCUGUUCAGAUGACUGCGAAGAUAAAACAUUUGUCAGUAGUAGUGAUGAAAAUUUCCAGAGUAAAUGGUGUAACAAGUAUACUCUGAAUGAAAUAACCACUCUUCAGUAUUCUUUAACUGCACUCAAGGAACUGAUUGCUAGCCUGGAAAAUGUAAAGACCUUUGCAAAGAUUGAUAACUUUUCUGAAGUCAUGCUGCAACAGUAUUGGAAUGGAGAUAUAGAUAACAUUCAUAUCUUUACAUCCACAGAAUAUCCACAAAUCAUUAAUGAAGCUGCUGUCACCUGCACAAAGAUUGAAGAAGAAAGUCCAGUGGUUCUCACUGCAAUGUCUGGAGUGACCUGUGAUGAACUGACUAAUAAGUACCCAGGUUUGACACUCGGCUGCAGUUCCUCACAAGAAGAGUCCAACUCUAUUUUGGUAAAUGCUGACAAGGAUGACAGAGUGUCUGCUGUUUCCUCGCCUCUCACACACAUGACACACAAGGACAGAGGAGAUAAAGGCCUCAAACCAGUGGAGGUGGAUGAUGUGGAAAGCAUGAUAAAGGACUCUAAAGAGUCAUGGACUCCAAGAAUUAUUGAAGAUCAAGAUGCAAAUAUACACAGACAGAAGACCACUGGAAAUCAACAAAACUGCCCUGUUAGCUCUAAGAAAACAACUGCACAUUCAAAUUCAUCUGUUGACAGAAUUCUAAUUAAUGACGCAGUCUCUACAAACCAAAACAAACAACCAGUGUACGGCCAAACAAGUUGUAAAAAUAUAAGAAAGGAUGUGUCUUGUUUGUGCUCUCAGGUGGAUUUAAGCAACAAAUAUGCAGAAUGUACCCCUCUGUCUGGAAGAGUGGAUAAAGACACCCCCUCUGUGACCGUUUUAAAAGAGCCACAAUAUGAAGAUAUCUCAGAUGCUGAAGACAUGUCAGAGCUGGACACGAAACUUCCAGAGCAUGAGGAAUUCCGUUUUCCAUUACAUUUAGAGCACCCAGAGUAUGAAGAUAUAAGUGAAGAUGAGAAUCCACCAAUUCAAAAUAUGGAUGUGGAGAUGCCGUCUUUUCCACCUGAUGUAUCUGAACCCAAUGUUAAGCCGUAUGGACAUGUGCAGAUUCAGAUAAAGUCAAUUUUAUAUGAGGAACUGAUUCCAAUGAAGCAGUUGACACCAAAGACAGAAACACUUUGUAUAGCACAACAUUGCUCUUGUCCACAUUUUGGUGAAACAGAUGAUGACACUGAAUAUGCGUCAGGUGCUACAUGUGACUGUGCAAGACAUGCUGAAUGCCAGACAAACCGCUCAUGCAGUCCUUCCUCUGAUUUGAAAGAUGAAUACGAGUCUGAUGAUGAGAUGAAUGAUGACUGGUACAUCAUACCUUUAAUCAUAUCGGAACUUAAACUUGAAUUACCAGAAGAUGAGCCUGAUCAAGUCGACGUUCUGUCGGAUGUUGGUGAAUAUAUGAACAACGUAACACUUUGUGAACUCCACCAGCCACCUCCAGUCCAGGUCCCAGCUUCUGCUUUUUCCCAGAUUGAGGUCUUUGACACACGUGAGAGCUUUCAACAGGCAAAAGCUGUCCAAUUUGGGAAAUUUCCUCAAAAAUUAUCAGAAGAGAGUUUACCAGAGAGAGACCCAAAGUCACAUCACAGCAGAAGGGAUUCCUAUUCUGAGUCUGAAGACAGCUGUGAAACUGAUGACAGUUGUAAUUACUCACCUGUGGAAGAACGCAACCAUUUAACAGUGUCCAUGAAGCUGUUGAACAGCCUGCCAGCAUCUUCUUCUUCAGAGGCAAAUGACUCAGAAUCUGAAAAAGAUCAUGCAGAUGAUGAGGCGAGAAAUUUGCAAAACAAUCCAAGCAGGAGCAGACAAAAUACUUGUAAAAUGGAAGACAUAAUAAUCCUCAAUUCUGACACAGAGGAUGAAUGUGAUCAAGUAUGCACAAAUAACGCAAGAAGACAGAAAGGAUUCUUUUUACAGAAUGAAGUCAGUGCUGCUGCCCCUUGUAGUCCACAAAAGAGAUUUUCCUCUGAAACUGUGGCUAGUGUAUGUGAAAGUGUUAAAGAAAACUUGUUCAAAAAAGAACUUCUGCCUGCACACUCAAUAAAAAUGACCGCAAACUCUGGGCAGGUAUGUAAAAACAUAGCCAUAUCUGAGCAUGUUCAACAUGAUGUCACGCAGCAAAAUGUUUCAGAUGAUGAAAGUGUAAUAGUCAUUGAUUCUGACGAAGAGGAUGACAGUAGUCAAAACUACAAGGCGAAGAGGGAAUUUUCUUCAGAGUGGGCAGGCGCUGGUAAUGAUCCAUUUGUUCAGCAACAGGGGACUCCUGUGCACACUGAAUAUGAAACUGCCAAAGGAAAGCUUGAAGAAUGCCGACAGUCUGCAGACUCAUCAAAGGCGCAGCGUGACUCUAAACACAGAGAUACACAUUCACAAGAAGAGAUGCAGGACACAUGCUCUGACCUGUCACACAGUAUAAAGAGGGGACAGUUGCCUGAAGCUAAAACUGGCUCUGUGUGUGUUCAGCAAAAGACUAUCACACAAAUGACAUCAAAGCGUUUCCAUGAGUCUGACCAUGUGGUGACAGCAGACAAAAUUGUCAAAAAGAAGGCAAAAACGAAGAGGCGAACGCUGUCAUCAGAACCAGGGGACAGUGAUUCUGCCUUUAUUAAUGUACAGAAAAGUCCUCAUGUCAGCAACAAGUCUCAAAAAAGUCAGUCAUCCAAGGAUUCAUCUGAAAUGCAGCCCCAGUCAGGGACAGACAGGGAGGUAGACACCACUGUGGGUUGCAAUCCUGUGAUUCGCCGUCUUUUGAUUCAGAAUUUCCCACAAGACAACAGUCCCCUGAAACUUUCUAAACAAUCUAUAGCCUACAGGCAGGACAAAGACACAACUCCAAAAAAACACACAUCAACCAGCAAAAAUGUAGACUCCUGUAAAACAAAGACACAGCUUUUGCAUGGAGAUAUACAAGGAGAAUUUGUAUCCAACCCAAAGCCUGCUGAUGAGAGACACCAUGUAACACCACUGUCUAAAUCUAAGGAGAGCUCUUCUCCUCCCACAAAAAUGUUGCCUUUAUUCAAACUACAGCAGCCAGACUCCUUCAGUAUCCCGUCAACAUCCAUUCAUUCCUACACUCCAACAAAGGGCCCGUCAGCAAUGACACAAGUGACCAAUAAGUGGCGGGAGAGCUAUUACUCGACCAGAAAAGACAAAAAAAAUAGUGUGGUGAUGGAGGAGGGCUUAAGACCUAAGAACAAUCAUGAUUUUCUGAAGGAAGCUAAACCUAGACGUCGUCGCUGUGACAAGGCACCCAGACGGAGGAAUAGCUCCCAGGAAUCUGCAACCCCCUUGAUGAAAAGGACCAUGGUUGAAGCCAGAGAGUUGACAAAGGCCAGGAAUCGGGAUGCUUCAUGUGACCAACGUGUGUUAUUUUAAAGUAUCUAAAAUGUCUUUUAUUUUCUGUAAUAAAUUGAUGCAGUCAGAUGAAAAGUAUUUUUUACUGUAUCUAAUCCAAAUACAUGUUCCUGAACCUCAUUCUUGUAGCAGGACACCGUGUGGGUGAAGGUUACAAAUGGAGGAAGUGAUCAAGAGACAUACAAACUAAAGGUGAUGCUUCAUCAUUUUAACUUUCAUAGCAGUCCAUCAGUUUAGCAGUCCAUUGACCAAGAUUUUUCUUUUUUUUUUCCUUGCUUUUUAUUGUAGGCUCCUACAGGCAGGGGAAGAAGUAUAGAUGCUUCCCAAAGUCCCAUCACUGGAAAAAUGUUGAUAACUCCAAGAAACCGCAGUUACAGUUGUCAUAAUUUGAUUUGAUUUUCUGAAGCAUUUUUGUGUAGCACGACAGACAAUACUUAGAAAAGUUGCCUGUAUUCUAAUAUUUUGCAUUCAGUAUUUUUACUGUUGUGUGUAAAUAUGUUCAUGUUGUAUUAUUACAUCAACUGUGACAUUGUAUGUGUUUGGUCUUUUAAUGUUGACUGUAAAAACAUGUUUUACCAGCUACCUCAAAUAUAAAACUUCAGCUUUAAGUUAACUGGUUUUGUGCAGACUGUUCAAACUUGGAACUUUUCAUAUAUUUUACUUGUUUAUUUUUUUACAGGUAAUUUUCCUCCUCUUACGUUGACAUGACUUUUUGUUCUUAGGGUACCAUAUGCAGUUGCAUGUCACAGCAAUACAAUAUCAAACAAAUGGAAUACUUUUAAUGAAUUCCUGGACACAAAAAUGGGGAAGGCAUUUUAUUGAACAUUGAGAACUAAUUGAUCAGGUAUGAUAGGUUGUACCUAGGGUUGCCACCCAUCCCUUAAAAUACGGAAUCGUCCUUUAUUUGACAAUUAAUUGUUGCGUCCCGUAUUGAAUCAAUACGGGACGCAAAUUGUUCCGUAUUUUCAUAAACGCCCCGUACACGUCUGUCACACACUCAUCAAAACUGCAUAAGGAACAAAAAAACACAGGAAAUACUAAGGGCAGCCAAUUUAAACUUCAUAGGACCUCCGUAGCGAGGACCCGAUGCCAGGUCCAGCAGAUCACGCUGCACCCACGUGUUUAAAAAUGUUUACACCCGAAACUCCACCACGUCCACAGAAGCAAAAACAUUUACAAAUGUACCAAUGGGAGUGGGACGACUCGAACCCUUGACAGUACGAGGCAAACGUUGUUUUCUGUUGCUCAUGGACUGGCUGAAGUAAGGCAGCAUCAGGAGAUCAACAUGUAAGAAACAUGAGAACAGAGAGAACCCAACCAGCAGGUCACAGUUUAUCAUCAUCUGAUCAUCUCCUGAAGUCCAUAUAGUAAGGGACAUCAGUAUAUGGUUGUUAGUUUACCUGAGGAUGCUUAUAAUCAUGCUGAUGUAGUCCUAGACUCUACACUGUUUUAGUGAUUCAAUAAAUGCCUAAGUUGUUGUUUAGUUUUUUUUAAUGCUUUUUAGUUUUUAAUAAAUAUUUAAUAGCCUAUAUGUAAUCAAUAAAUGACCUUUGCCUAUCUAAAGAAAAACUCACAGAACUCUAUGUUAACAGUACUAAAUAAAUCAAUAAAUAGAUGCAUACACACAUAAGUUAAUACAUUAGCUGUGUUAAGAUAAGAUUUACAUUUAGAUGAAAAAAAAUGUAGAGAAUUUCUUUGUCCAGUAUUCUGCAUUCAGUUGUUUAUGUUUUUGCAGAAUCCAGUAUUUCACACUGGCUGGUCAUUUUAUUUCAUUAGUAUGGUUUCACUGUUUAAAACGAG